CCGCCGUUUGUUAGUCUUUCGCUCUGGCCUGAGUGAGACUCAUGUCGGUUAAAUUCGCAGUUUUUUCAACUCGCCGUUUCUCAUUUUUGUCGUGUACGGCAUCGCGUAAUCACGUCGUUAAUCGUCGGCCGACUAUCACCUCUCUCUGCGACAACAACCGUGUUUGCUUAGUGUUUACGUGUCGCACGGUUCAAUCAGCAGAAUGAGAACCACUGGAAAUUGGACCUUGUGAACGUUCGGAUGCAACGACGUCCCCUUUCACCGCCGGCUCGGCGACACGUAUACAACAACAACAACAACCGCCGCCGCAGUCUCCCCUCCGCGCAACGUCUGGCUCGGAAUGCCGUCUGACGACGUUCAUUAAUUGGACGUGUACUGCGUAGCGUCGUACGGCGUCGGUGCACUGCGGACCAGUCGGCCAUUUAUUUCCAAACUUCACUUCUUCGUCGGUACCUACUGCUCUGCUGUGUGCGCACUGUGUUCGUCUCGUCGCCUCCAAACGCCGACGGUGAUUGUUUUCCGUUCGGUACGCCAUCGGGGCCGGCAUAACAUGGACAGGUUAGGUCUCAUUACGACGGCGAGAACUUGUUGAUUCAGUACCGGCGACUGAAGAAUUUCGCCAUGCAAGCCAUGUAUAACAGGUCAAGUAUAAGGGCUGUUCAUCGUGCAGAAUAUCUGGAACUGUUACAUUGUUACUGGUUUGCAUGCUGUAAGUUUAAGAUUUCUACUCGCAUUAUUCAAUAAGUUAUGAGUAGGUCUUGGAAGUUGUUGAAUUUCAAUGUUUUUAUUGGACUAUUAUAUUUACUAAGUUGGUUUGAAAUUAAUUUCACGACACUACCUACGAAAAGAUUCUAUAAUUAUUCCAUAAUACUAUUAUGCAUGUUAAAAUUAUUAAAUAUACAUUAACUAUAUACUUAAGGUAAAUAUAUUGGAUAGGAGGAGGGCAUGCCCCCUGGAAUGUCUAGGACUUAUCUACAACUUUAAUAACUAUAAAGAUUAUUAUCUAUUUAAUGUAAUCCAAACAUAAAACAAUGCCAAUUGGUAUAAAAUAAAAAUAAUAUCUUUCAUAGCUUGUUAACAUAAAUAUAAUAAGAAUAAUAGUGAAACAAUUAAUAUAUGCAUUAAAUAAAAAUUUAUAUUUUUACCUUUAAAUAAAAUGUUUAAAUAAAUCAACAAAGUAAAAAUAAAUGAAAAACUUAGUUAACAUACUCUGUAUAAAAUAAAAAUAGUACUCUAUAUGUCUUAUAAAGAUAGUAUAAUAAUAAAAAUAGUGAACCAAUAACUAAAUUGCACAAAAUAAACGUAAACACUAUACCAGAUGUUACCCAAUAAAUAUGAAAACAAAGUAUAAAAUAAAAAAACAUAGUUCAUUAUUAUAGUCAGUCUUUAUCUUUAUCUUCUAUGGAAGUCUUCCAUGCACUCUGGACAAACUGCAGUUUUAUAAUGUAUAUUUUGUGAUGAUGCACUGUAUUUAAAUUGGCACAAACCUAUAUCUACUUUAUCUCCCGUUAGUUUCUUUAGACUUAAAAAAAUUAUGUCACAUAUUGCAUCGUAAUAUUUUUAAAAUUAUGUGGUCUAAAACUUAAACUUUGUUUAGUUGAUUGGGUUUAGCCAUUUGAAUUCUGGCGAUGUAAUGUGAUGUAGAGUAGAAUUUAGGUUUGAAUAAUAUGUUUCUAAUUUGAAUGGAUGUUAACCACCUACAUCAUUGACCUUAACACAAAUAAUAAUUGCGAAAUAUUUUUAUUUUAUGUAAUAUGUUUAUAAAGUAUGACAAAUAUUAUGCUUAUAAUGGAAUCUUAUAAUUAAUAUUAACAAAUUAUACUAAUAUAUUAUGUAUCAUAACAUUGUGUUAACUAUAACUGAAAUUAUCAAAAUCAUUAGAAGUUUCUAUUAUUUUAUUUCAAUCAUUUGUAAUGUAAUAUAAAAUAAUAUGAUAAACUAAAUUUAAAAUCAACUGAUUAAUGAAAGGUCUUGAAUUUUGCAGACGCAUAGUUACUAAAAUUAAAUAUUUGUUAUGUCAUGAAUAAUGAUAAUAUAAAAGAUAACUAAAAAUAGUUUUAUCAUUUUUCUUCAUAUUCAACAUUAGCUGAUUAUCUCCCAUGUACAAAAUACGUACUAACCAAAGUGUGACAAUCCUCCGCUAUGCAUUAGAAGUGUAUCAGAGAAACAUUAGAGGGGCCCACAUAAGAGGUUCAUUGUUUUGAAGGAUUAAAAUGUUUAUGUGAUAACAUUACAAAUUGAAAUAUUUAUUACUAGAUUAUUUUCUGAAUUCAGAGACAUUAAAAUGUAAAUUUUUGAUUUAUUUCACAUAAGAGACUUUGAGCUUUGUCCUGAGCAACAUCAUGUUUAAUUUAAUGCAUUUGCUGGAAUUAAAAACCAAAUAACUUCAUUUUGACGAGAAAUUCAAUAUGGUUAUGGAACAAUGGAAUGAUAGAAAAUAUUUAAAUUCCUUAGAUGAAAAUAAAAUCAUAUUAUUAUAGGAAUAUUCAAGAAACCAAUACAUUUUUGACUUAGAGGCUAUUAACUUGUUUUAUUUUCUUUAAACGUACACAGCCGUAAACAUGGUACUUUAGUUAUGAAAUUAAUUAUUUUGUCAUUGUCAUAUCAAACUUAUAGUAGACAGCCAAUUCCUAACAAGUUUUAAAAUAUUUUUGACAUCUAGAUUUUAUAGUAUUGCCAUAUUAUGCCACUUUUCUUCUGCUUUUUUUUCUAAGAUUAAACAUUGAGUCAACCACAAUUAUUUUCUAUAAAUCUUUUGAAUAUGGUGAAGUUUGGUUAACUUUUUAAUUUGGCCAUUUAAAUAUAAUAAUAAUUUAAUAUAAUUUUCCAUAUUAUGUUAUGCGUUUAUUUCUGCAGUCGAAUAGUAAAUUAAAUAUUUAAAAUUGUUUAAUUCACUUUAAAAAUUGAAAACUUAUUUUAUCCAUAUGAUUGAGUACAAUUAUAUAAGUUGUGUACAUAAGCAACCAUUUUAUAUAUCAUAUAAAUACAAUUAGGCAAUAUCUUAGUGUAAAUGUUCAUAACAACACAAAUAAUUAAUAUUUUACAAAAUGUAACAUAAAAUAAUUAGGUUGAACAGAAAAUGAAAAAAUUAUACAAACAUAAAAAAUAAAUAUUAAAAUACCUAGUACCUUAAGUAUUGUUUAUUUAUUUAAGUGUUAGUUGGUCCUUUGUCCAACUUUGUUACUGUUAUGCACAUUAAUGUCUUUUACAUAGAUAAAUAAACAAAGGACCUGUGUUAGGUAUAUUUGGAUUAAUAAUAUUUAUUCUUUCUUCAGAAAAUAUACGUUUAAAACAAGCAAACAAAUUGCGUUCAUACACACAAAAAGUUUGGUUACAAUUUGACUUCUUAAAAUAAUUGUCUGUUAAAUAAGGUUUCUGUUGAAAUUCUAAACUGUAACUAUAAUAUUACUAUAUUAUCAUAAUUUUAUUUUUGUGUUUUUGAGCUAUAACUCUGAAGGUUAAUACUUCUAUUGAUUAUACUUUUUCAAUUCAAACAUAGAUAUAGUAUCUAUUGUCAAAUGCUUUUAUCAUUUGCACCAUCUAAAUAUUUAUAAAACAAAAUAUAAGAAUAAUAAAAAUACAAAUUUAUACUUAUUAUUAUUGACAUUGUUAAAUGCGGCCCUUCAGGGAUUCCAAAUGAUGAUGAUUGAAAUAAGUUGUAGUAGUCGUGAAGUUACUUAGGUCUCAACUGCUCUGGUACAUCUGAAUAUGCCAUGUCCUGGCCCCUCUAUAUAUGAUUUCAGCUCCUUUGAUAUGGCUGGCUCGUGCAUUUGCCGGUGUUUUUAGGUGAGGUCGUUGCAAGUUGUUGUUGUCGUAGAGAUGCAACAACCUGGCCUUGGAAAUUUCUAAUGGCUAAUUUGAUAUAGUUGCCAACUUCCAAAAGCCAAGCUAGCAGUCCUAUGUGCGAGUCGCGCGCUGCCAGUUCUAUGAAUCUGUUGAUUCAUAGUUUUGUCUAUUUAAUUGAAUGAUUAUAAGUGAAACCCAUUGUCCUUAAUAUUAUAUAAUAUAUUAUAUAAUAUGAAUAUAAUAUGAAUCUGUGAGGCCAUUGCUCACAACACCUCCAAAAAAAAAAAGGUUUCGGACUCCUUUAGGCACAAAUGUUUACAAUUAUGUUUUACAAUUUAAAAUUUUGUUGAACAUUUUAUAGUUGAUUAUAAUUCAGUUACAAUUUUUGUUAUACAUUUUACAAUUAAUUUACAAUUUUGUUUUACCUAAAAUUGUUUUUACAAUUCUGGAACUUAAGUAGGUAUUAUAUGCAUCAUAAUUAUAUGAAGUAAAUAAAGUUGGCCUCGGAAUUGGAUAUGGUGGAUAUGGUUUAUCUUGAGGAGAGUAAGCUGGAUUAUAUGUCAUCCAGAAAUUUCAGGUUUGUCAUACUUUUCUUCUAAUUCCGAAACCAACGUUAAAACUUUUAACUUGGCCUCAGAUAUACCUUUUUUUGAAAAUCAAAAAAAUUCUCGUUGGCACAAUCGCCAUCUGUGGCGUUUGCGCUGCUACUGUCGCUGCUUUUGCUACUGCCACAGCUACUGCUACUGUCAUAGUUGUUUUUGAUAUCAGCUACGUUUUAAUCUUAAUACGUAUUUCAAAAAAUCUUGAGUUAAAAGGUUUUUAGCGAGACUACUCUACUUCGACGCCAUAAACCUACACGUGUCUACGAACCGUAUGGUAAACGUCCUACUUUUAUAUUUCGAAAAUGAUAUAAAUUUCUCUUCGCUAUUAGCAAUAACCUUAACCCUUUCUGAACAAAAGCUUAAAAACAUUAAAAAUAUAAAAAAAAUUUUGUGACUUUCGAUUUUUUUCCUAUAUCUAAGAUAAGGUAUGAACAAAAAAAUCUAUAAUUUUUGAUCCUUGAUCCUUAUUUUAUCCUGGGACUCAAAAGUCCCGUCAGUCCUUUACGGUCUGGACUUAAGUCCCACCAGGCAUUUAGGUUAUUUUUCUUAUAUAUAUAAACAAUAAAAAAAAAAACGCGUUUUCCUAAGGAUUUUUAAAAAAUACAAACGAUUACAAUUUAUAGAAAAUUUUAUUUUUUUUAUAUACUUAACACGUUCACCUCCGCACGUAUAUUCCUAGUCUACCGCCACACGCCGCGUAACUGUUGGCAACAUAUUACGUGUGCCAAUCCGUAAUCGACGGCAGCCAUUGUCUAUAUCAAUGAAGGCAAUAGCCGGCGCCGAUCACGGAUCGUCGUAUAUUCUGAAAUUUAGUUUCAUACUAGACAUUUUUUUAAUUUUGAUUCAUAUGAAAUACGUUAUUAAUAUUUAUUGUUUUAUAAAAUAAAUACAUAAUGACUCCUUAUCACACAUGUAAAAUAUUUUUAUAAAAUAAACAAAAAUAACUUGUACAUAAAAAAACAAUAAAAUAAUAUAAAUAAUAAAUCUUCAGAACAGAAAAUAACCUUGUAACUCUUGUAAUUAAAAAAACAAAAAAAUAACAUAAAUAACAAAUCUUCAGAACAGAAAAUAACUUUGUAACUCUUGUAAAUAAAAACAAUAAAAUAAUAUAAAUAACAAAUCUUUAGAACAGAAAAAAAUAGAUAAUUACAUUCUAAAACCUAAUAAUUAUUAGUAGUUAUAUUUUUUUAUGGUACUCUUCAAAGCAACUUUCAAGACACAAACCUGGUUUUUCAUUGCAUUCCAUACAGUAAUAUAUCGUAUCUUUACGAAUGCCUUUUCCUGAACAAAUUUGACAUCGUUAGUAUUUGUAUUUUUUUUUAUAAUUUUUUUCUACUUUUUUGGGAAGAUGUGUUUCAUUUAUUUUUUUCGUGAUUCGAGCAUUCUUAUUAUCCAGAUCGUUUGGUAAUAAUGCUUCAAUCACAGACAGUCUAAACUCAUACAACAUUGUCUUCUUUGCAUAUUUAUUGUAUAAAAAAUAAGAAUUUACCAAUAACAAAUGUAUACAAUGUAUACCAAUUUUUUUGUACCAUCUUAUAGUCUUUCUUUCAAACGGAUAGUACGAAGUCAUCUGAUCUUGGCGAUCUAUUCCAGACAUAUGUUCAUUAUAUUUUAUAACUGAAAUUGGUUUAAAUAACUAUUUGAAGAAUAAAUUUGUAUUGAAAAACACUUGUGUUUUAUUUGGAAGUUUAUUCACUAAAUGAUUUUAUCCCACAAACAAUUAUUUGUCUGAAAAUAUUUAAGUCAUUUAUAACUGAACGAUUGAAAAUAGUAUUAGAAUAGUAUUAAUUUGCUGAAAUUAAUAAUUGUUAGUAAUCGCACCCUUGGAGCAAGACCGCCUCUUCUUUAGAUCUGUUGUUUUGAGAAAAAUCAUUUUUAAGUUUCUAAUUUUAAUUGAGAACGUAAUUUUUAAGUUAUUUCAAUGAUUUAAACCUUAUAUUUAACAUUAUUAUCUGUACUUUGAACUAGUGUAGAUUACGAUAUUAAUAUCUUAUUGCUAUUAAUAGAAUUUAACUUUAUGGCGGUUUUAAAUUAUAUUUAAUUAUACAAUAGUGCCACAUUUUGAUAUAGUGCAGUAUUACAUUACGUUUUUAAAUGAGUAUAAGCCAUAAACACUAAUAUGGCAGUCUUAUUUUGUGGCAUUGAUACAUAAUAAUGCCACAUUUUGAUUUCAGUCAGUCUUGCAUUAGGUGAGGUUGCAUAUUAGAAUGUUGAGUUCCAACUUUAUGCAUAGAAAUGGUACCUAGUUACACUAAAUUUUUUGUCUUAUUACUUUUGAAAUGAAUAAAUAAAUAAUUUAAUCAAUUAGAUGCUCACAAAAUACAACCAACAAAAUAUAACCUUAUAAUGUUAUGUUUAUUAUUAUAAUAAUAUCAUAAAAAAUUAUUUAAAAUAAACAUCUUACAUUUUAUAUUUUUAAAAUAAUGUAUUAUAUUUAAAUAAUAACAAUAAUAUUCUUUAUACUUCAAAUUGUACAACAUAAACUAAAAUAAAAUAAAAAAUAAAAAAAUAUCCGGUAACAGUUACCUAAUUUUAAAGUCUAAAUUAUAAAAAUUAUGUUUUAUAGGUAAUGAAAAAAUAUAUUUAACAUAAUACUUAUUCUUUUCCUUAAAAAAAAAUUAAAAUACCAAGUAACAAAAUAAACACAUUUAACAACUUAAUUAAAAUCUUUAUCAUCAGUAGUUACAGGUGAUGUAUUUGAAAUUGUGUUCAACUGCUUAAAAAAAUAAUGAUAUGUAUCUGGUAUGAAUUUAGCAUCACAUAAAUUAACAAGAUCUCUUUUUUUUCUUUAGAUAUACCAGGUGGCGUUUGAUACAAAGGACUUAUAUCCAAUUCAAUAUUAUUUUGUUUUGACUUUCUUGUUUUUCUUGAAACAAUAAUUUCCAAAAAAAUCAUUUUGAUCAUAGGAUGUUUUGUAUUGUAUUCUAUCUGGUAAAUCAUCUACUCCAUUUAACCUGUUUAGGCCCACCUCUAUGCCAUUUCUUGUGCUUGACCAAUUUUCUACAUUUUCAUUUUGUUUGUGCUUGAUGAGUAUACAAUUUUUUGUUGUGGUAUUGGACUUUUUUUUAACCAUUCCAACUAAUUUUUUUCCAGGAUUCAUAGUGAUCUAAAAAUGUGCAUAUUACAAUUUAUUGUAAUAUAGUACUGCUAAUAACCAACAACAUAAAUUAAGCAUAGUAAAAUACCUACAAUAAAAUACACAAACUCAUGACAAAAUAUAAUGUUCCUACUCAUUUGAGACUUUUUUCAUUUAAUUAUAAUGUUCUAUUAUAUUAUUAUAAAAGUUUACUUACAAAAUAUUCAAACCUUUUCAUUGGUAAAAUGUUGAAAGGCCAACUUCAAAAUAUUGUACGAAUUUCACAUCAUUUUUAAUGUAUUAAUGUAAUAAUAUCAUUAUCAAUUGAUAUUAAUAUUAAUAUAUUAAAUUGUUAUUAUCAUUUAUGAACAUGGAAAAAUCUCCCAUGUGCAUAUUUCAUACACGACACUACAUCUACUCUGCAUGCCAAUAUCUCCAAUGUAAUUUUGACCAAAUUUUUAAUCACAUAGGAGGUAUUUCAUAAACGAUUUAUGGUUGGUAACACAUAGGAGGAAUUGUAUAUUAUUUUUCAUUAAUUCUACGAUGGAGAUAGCACAUAGGAGUUUUUAUCAAAAUGACCGCCUAUUUUUUCUGAAUCCAGGGAUACCGAACAAUAUCUCAAAAUCGAAAAUUUGGCACAUAGGAGGUUUUUUCGUGUCAACGACGAUAUGUUAUAUAUAUAUUUACUUAGGGUAAUUGAGUAUGAAGCUAGGGUCCCAUGUUAUUUCUAUUAUUUUUAAUAACUACAUUCUCCCUUACAGUGAUCCUUCAUUAAUAACUCAAUAUUCCUAGUAAUUUUAUUUAAUUUCUUAAAUUAAAAAUGUUCAUUUAAUUUUUUGUUAGCCUUUAAAAUAUGUCAAUUUAUACAUACUGUCUUCAUGUUAUCUCUCUUAAGUUUAUACAUGUGUAGAUACUUCAGUGCUUAUAAUUCUUUUUAAUUCUUCAAUGAAGAAUGAUAGUUAUUUUUACUAUAUUAAUUCCUCUUAUCCAUUCUGUGUUUUCUGCAUAUUUUAUAUAAUUUAAUUGUCCCCAUUUUUGACAUGAUUCCAACUUAAAAAAUCCCAGUUCCUACUGCUUGGUUCAUAUUUUUGUUUAACGUGGUCCGCUUGCCUGACUUUGAAUGUUUGUUGUGUUCCGGAGUCGUCAAGGUUGAUCAAUACCUCGACUGUGACUUGUGAAAGCGGCUUCCGUGGAGUGUGUGAAGUCAUAAUAUUUUCUCGCCUCCAUGAAUAAGCCCUAAUGCUAUAAAGGAAAAUAUCACGUGAAUCAUCAAGAUCGCAAAUGUGAUUAUGUUAAAAUACUCUAAAAUUUCCCCUAUCCUUAAACAAUUAAUUAUUGUUACAUCUGUAGAUUUGUUCCAUAGUACUAUUUUAGGGUCUUUGUUUAUAGUGUGCAGGUAUCUUUGAAGAUAAGUUGUUGACAAGUUUGACUCCCCCUGAUGGUUUGGUUAUACUGCUGUAUAAUUGUCCCAACAAAGGUCUCAUCAAGUCCUGUUUGUGGCGAAAUAUUCUUUUGAUUGCCUGCAGUAUCUUUUCCAAGUCAUAGGGCCUUAACCUUCUCAACUUUUCAUCUUGUAUAAGCAUAAGAUGGCUCCCCUCCAGUUUUACUGGUACCUUUCCAAGUUGUUGGAGAUUGCGCUAGACAUCAAUAGUACAAUAUUAUUUCUGUUUUAUUAAUCAUAGUGAAUUCAAAAUACACCAUGAAGAAAUGUAUCUGAGAACUAAAAUAUAAAUUACAUUAUUUCCCUAAUAUUACUAUUUAUUAUUAAUUUUUUCUUUAUUUCUUUUAUAUAUAUUCUUAACAUCUCAAGCAAGAACUUAUUUCUUUGAAUGAUCAAUAGACAUAAUAGGUCUUGCAGUUAGUUACUCCAAUAUCAUGCCUAUAGUUAAACAAACCAAUCUGUUUGCCGUGGAUUGUCAACCAGUGGAUUAGCAAUCUUGCCUUUAUUUUUUAGCUUUCUCAGUUUCGCUAGAAACGUUUACCUUUUUCAAACGUGGAAAAAAACUUUAUUAGAAGAAAUUUGAGAAAAUAAAUGUACAAACCACACAUUGCUCACAUUUCAGGCACUUAGAUAUCCUCUCUCUUCUACUAGCAUGUUCACAACUGACCUUCCCCCUACAUUCAACUUUAUUAUUUUUAUCGAUGGUCAACCUAGCAUCUUGCCAUUUGUUUUAUAAAAUAUUAUUUUAUUGUUGAAAUGUACUAUAAAGUUUUACCUGUUGUAAUGACUGGUGACCUACUCACCUCUAAAAUUGGUGUGGUAAUUUAAUUUUUUUAUUACAAAUUUGUAUCUUUUAAGUCAUGAAAAUUUCUAUUUUAUUUAAGAACAGUUUCAAUUACUAUAUCAAGUAAGAACAAUUUUAUGCUUGUAGAUGAUUAUUAAUUUAUAAGUACAUUUACUGUAUAAUAUUAACAUAUUUAGGUAAUCGAAAACAAUGAAUGUUUGAUACAAUUUUGAUCUGAAUUAUGAAUUAAAGAUUUUAUUUGGUUUUUUACAUAAACUACAAUUAAAACAUUUUUUAAUAAAACAAUAUGUUUGAAUCUUUAUUUUAUUAUUACAUUAUAACUUUAUUAUUAAUUAUGUAUACUUAUAUAAUAGCUAUUUGUUCUUAUCUACCAUAAUUGCAUUAACAUUGAUAUACAUUUGUUUUAAGUUAAAACAAAUAAAAAAUAAAAAAGAUGCUUUAUACGUGUUAUACGUAUUAUUGUGCAUAAUAAUUGUAAGUUGAAAAUUCAACUGAUAUAUGAUCAAGUUAGCUGUGAUUUGAUGUAAUAUUCAAUAAAUGCAUAUGUAUGAGCCCCUGGCGUGGUCUAACAAUCCGCAAGCUCUUAAAUGUAUAUUUGAAUGAACAUGUUAAAUAUACAACCCAAAAUCUCAAACAUAAAUGGUUGGUUGUACAUGUUAGCUAAUUAGCAUAUGUGGUAAAAGCUUGUAUGUGUAUUUAUACACAACAGGUAUAUUAUAUGUCUAUACACAAUGGUGUUAUAAAAAAUACGGUAAAUUAACAGUGAACAAGUUUAUAAUGCAAUGUGUAGUAAAGAAUAUUUAAAAAAAUAGUUGUUAUAUUAUAGUGUGUAUAGUUACUUUUAUUUUUAUUCUGUAAAAUAAAAUAAUUUACUGAUCAAAUAAGUUUUAUGUAAGGUUAAGCUAUUAUUAUUGUUAUUAAUUGGUGAUGUAGUAAAUAUGUAAACAACCAUCUAUAAAUAUUAAUUACACUACUAGAUAAAUAUUGUAUAAAAAAAAAAAAAUAAAUAAAAAAAAAUAGUUUUCGUGUUACAAUGUUAAUAUUAUAUAAUGAACCAUUAUUAUUAAAAAAAAAAAAAAUAUUUUAUCGCUUUGAAGAGUUUAAAUUAAAGAGAAACAAUUACAAAAACAUCACAAGCGUAAAAUAAAGUUUUUUUAUAAAAACAUUUGAUUGUUAGUUUGGUUUUAUUUUCCCAAUAUGUUUUGUCAUCAACAAAAAAUAAUAAAUUUUUACAACGUAUUUGUGCUAGGUUGUACCAUCUAAAUCCUACAUUGUAUCGUGUUUAAAUCCAUUAUAUGGCAGUUGGUAAAAUAUCAUCCAAUAUUUAUAAAAUUAAUUUUAUUUAAAUUUUUUUAUUGAUCCAAAUAAAAAAUCAGAUUUCAUAAUAAUUUAGAAUUGAGUUAACUAUUUUUGUAUUGUUUGAAUACAAUUCUAAUAUGCGAUGGUCUUCUAUGAUAUUUUCCAAUAGAGUUUCAUUUCCUUUUCAUCACAAUUCCUAACUUGGAAUCUGAAAAAGUAGAUUAAUUCAGUGGGCUAUUUAGGUCCAGAAUUUAUCUUUUACUUUUAAAUAUAUAAUUUACAUAUAUAGUAAUUACAUUAUAAUAAUAUGAUGAUGAUGAUCAUGACGAUACAUUUAUUAUUGAAUUUGUAGAAACAGACGUCAUAAUUUUUACGUACGCGGGUUUUCGAUCUAUCGAAUUAUUAGAAAUAUUUUGUUUACUUAUAGACGACGACGACGACGAUACAUUUAUUAUUGAAUUUGUAGAAACAGACGGCAUAAUUUUUACGUACGCGGGUUUUUGAUCUGUCGAAUUAUUAGAAAUUUUUCGUUUACGUAUGUUAUAACUUGUUUUAUUUGUUACAAAAUUAUUAUUUUGAUUAUGGUUAGUUUGUAUUUUUUGUAUAAAUUUAACGCAUUUCGUAUCGUGUCGGGGUCGUCGUCGUCGUCUGUUUCCGUAUUAGGCGAAUUUUCUUUAGUUCUAUGCAUAGUUAUAUUUUUUUUAUUACGCGUGUCCCUAACCUUAUUAUUUGAUAUUUUUUCGUUUGUACAUUUGUUGUUAUUUAGCGAAUUUAAAGUUUCGGUAUAAUAUAACAUCUUUCGUUGCUUGUACGUUACCGUAUGUAAAUUGUUACUAAUUUUUGUAGUGAUUCGUUGUUCGGCCUCUUCAAUUUUUCUUUUUU